rnacentral:rRNA from 1 species
GACGAACGCUGGCGGCGUGCUUAACACAUGCAAGUCGAACGGAAAGGCCCUGCUUUUGUGGGGUGCUCGAGUGGCGAACGGGUGAGUAACACGUGAGUAACCUGCCCUUGACUUUGGGAUAACUUCAGGAAACUGGGGCUAAUACCGGAUAGGAGCUCCUGCUGCAUGGUGGGGGUUGGAAAGUUUCGGCGGUUGGGGAUGGACUCGCGGCUUAUCAGCUUGUUGGUGGGGUAGUGGCUUACCAAGGCUUUGACGGGUAGCCGGCCUGAGAAGGUGACCGGCCACAUUGGGACUGAGAUACGGCCCAGACUCCUACGGGAGGCAGCAGUGGGGAAUAUUGCACAAUGGGCGGAAGCCUGAUGCGGCAACGCCGCGUGCGGGAUGACGGCCUUCGGGUUGUAAACCGCUUUCGCCUGUGACGAAGCGUGAGUGACGGUAAUGGGUAAAGAAGCACCGGCUAACUACGUG